UACAGAGGUCCCAAGCGUUGUUCGGAUUUACUGGGCGUAAAGGGUGCGUAGGCGGUUGUUUAAGUCUGACGUGAAAUCUCCGGGCCUAACCCGGAAACUGCGUUGGAUACUAUUCAACUAGAGGAAUGGAGGGGAGACUGGAAUACUUGGUGUAGCAGUGAAAUGCGUAGAUAUCAAGUGGAACACCAGUGGCGAAGGCGAGUUCCUGGACAGUUGCUGACACUGAGGCACGAAGGCUAGGGGAGCAAACGGG
rnacentral:rRNA from 1 species